rnacentral:rRNA from 1 species
UACAGAGGUCCCAAGCGUUGUUCGGAUUCACUGGGCGUAAAGGGUGCGUAGGUGGCGAGGUAAGUCGGAUGUGAAAGCUCGGAGCUCAACUCCGAAAUGGCAUUGGAAACUACCUUGCUCGAGGGUUGGAGGGGGGACUGGAAUUCUCGGUGUAGCAGUGAAAUGCGUAGAUAUCGAGAGGAACACCAGUGGCGAAGGCGGCUACCUGGACAGAGUCUGACGCUGAGGCACGAAAGCUAGGGGAGCAAACAGG